UCUCUCUUGAGUGGAUCCUGAGUACGACGGAGCACGUGAAAUUCCGUCGGAAUCUGGGAGGACCAUCUCCUAAGGCUAAAUACUCUCUAGUGACCGAUAGUGAACCAGUACCGUGAGGGAAAGGUGAAAAGUACCCCGGAAGGGGAGUGAAAGAGAACUUGAAACCGUGUGCUUACAAGUAGUCAGAGCCCGUUAAUGGGUGAUGGCGUGCCUUUUGUAGAAUGAACCGGCGAGUUACGAUCUGAUGCAAGGUUAAGCAGAAAAUGUGGAGCCGUAGCGAAAGCGAGUCUGAAUAGGGCGAAUGAGUAUUUGGUCGUAGACCCGAAACCAGGUGAUCUACCCUUGGUCAGGUUGAAGUUCAGGUAACACUGAAUGGAGGACCGAACCGACUUACGUUGAAAAGUGAGCGGAUGAACUGAGGGUAGCGGAGAAAUUCCAAUCGAACUUGGAGAUAGCUGGUUCUCUCCGAAAUAGCUUUAGGGCUAGCCUCAAGUGAUGAUUAUUGGAGGUAGAGCACUGUUUGGACGAGGGGCCCCUCUCGGGUUACCGAAUUCAGACAAACUCCGAAUGCCAAAUAAUUUAACUUGGGAGUCAGAAUGUGGGUGAUAAGGUCCAUAUUCGAAAGGGAAACAGCCCAGACCACCAGCUAAGGUCCCAAAAUAUAUGUUAAGUGGAAAAGGAUGUGGCGUUGCCCAGACAACUAGGAUGUUGGCUUAGAAGCAGCCAUCAUUUAAAGAGUGCGUAAUAGCUCACUAGUCGAGUGACACUGCGCCGAAAAUGUACCGGGGCUAAACAUAUUACCGAAGCUGUGGAUUGUCCUUUGGACAAUGGUAGGAGAGCGUUCUAAGGGCGUUGAAGCAUGAUCGCAAGGACAUGUGGAGCGCUUAGAAGUGAGAAUGCCGGUGUGAGUAGCGAAAGACGGGUGAGAAUCCCGUCCACCGAUUGACUAAGGUUUCCAGAGGAAGGCUCGUCCGCUCUGGGUUAGUCGGGUCCUAAGCUGAGGCCGACAGGCGUAGGCGAUGGAUAACAGGUUGAUAUUCCUGUACCACCAUUAUUCGUUUUAAGCGAUGGGGGGACGCAGUAGGAUAGGCGAAGCGUGCUGUUGGAGUGCACGUCCAAGCAGUGAGAUUGAGUGUUAGGCAAAUCCGGCACUCUUAAGAUUGAGCUGUGAUGGGGAGAGGAACUUGUUCCUCGAGUCGUUGAUUUCACACUGCCGAGAAAAGCCUCUAGCUAGAAUAACGGUGCCCGUACCGCAAACCGACACAGGUAGUCAAGAUGAGAAUUCUAAGGUGAGCGAGCGAACUCUCGUUAAGGAACUCGGCAAAAUGACCCCGUAACUUCGGGAGAAGGGGUGCUCUUUGAGGUUCACGCUUCGAAGAGCCGCAGUGAAUAGGCCCAAGCGACUGUUUAUCAAAAACACAGGUCUCUGCUAAACCGUAAGGUGACGUAUAGGGGCUGACGCCUGCCCGGUGCUGGAAGGUUAAGAGGAGUGGUUAGCGCAAGCGAAGCUACGAAUCGAAGCCCCAGUAAACGGCGGCCGUAACUAUAACGGUCCUAAGGUAGCGAAAUUCCUUGUCGGGUAAGUUCCGACCCGCACGAAAGGCGUAACGAUUUGGGCACUGUCUCAACGAGAGACUCGGUGAAAUCAUAGUACCGGUGAAGAUGCCGGUUACCCGCGACAGGACGGAAAGACCCCGUGGAGCUUUACUGUAGCCUGAUAUUGAAAUUCGGUACAGUUUGUACAGGAUAGGUAGGAGCCUUAGAAGCGUGAGCGCUAGCUUACGUGGAGGCAUUGGUGGGAUACUACCCUAAUUGUAUUGGAUUUCUAACCCGCAGCACUUAUCGUGCUGGGAGACAGUGUCAGGCGGGCAGUUUGACUGGGGCGGUCGCCUCCUAAAGAGUAACGGAGGCGCUCAAAGGUUCCCUCAGAAUGGUUGGAAAUCAUUCAUAGAGUGUAAAGGCAUAAGGGAGCUUGACUGCGAGACCUACAAGUCGAGCAGGGUCGAAAGACGGACUUAGUGAUCCGGUGGUUCCGCAUGGAAGGGCCAUCGCUCAACGGAUAAAAGCUACCCCGGGGAUAACAGGCUUAUCUCCCCCAAGAGUUCACAUCGACGGGGAGGUUUGGCACCUCGAUGUCGGCUCAUCGCAUCCUGGGGCUGUAGUCGGUCCCAAGGGUUGGGCUGUUCGCCCAUUAAAGCGGUACGCGAGCUGGGUUCAGAACGUCGUGAGACAGUUCGGUCCCUAUCCGUCGUGGGCGUAGGAAAUUUGAGAGGAGCUGUCCUUAGUACGAGAGGACCGGGAUGGACAUACCUCUGGUGUACCAGUUGUCGUGCCAACGGCAUAGCUGGGUAGCUAUGUAUGGACGGGAUAAGUGCUGAAAGCAUCUAAGCAUGAAGCCCCCCUCGAGAUGAGAUUUCCCAACUUCGGUUAU
rnacentral:rRNA from 1 species